GACGAACGCUGGCGGCGUGCUUAACACAUGCAAGUCGAACGGAAAGGCCCUGCUUGCAGGGUACUCGAGUGGCGAACGGGUGAGUAACACGUGGGUGAUCUGCCCUGCACUUCGGGAUAAGCCUGGGAAACUGGGUCUAAUACCGGAUAGGAGCCAUCUUUAGUGUGAUGGUUGGAAAGUUUUUUCGGUGUAGGAUGAGCUCGCGGCCUAUCAGCUUGUUGGUGGGGUAAUGGCCUCCCAAGGCGGCGACGGGUAGCCGGCCUGAGAGGGUAGACGGCCACAUUGGGACUGAGAUACGGACCAGACUCCUACGGGAGGCAGCAGUGGGGAGUAUUGCACAAUGAGGGCAAGCCUGAGGCAGCGACGCCGCGUGGGGGAUGACGGCCUUCGAGUUGUAAACACCGUUCGCUAGGGACGAAGCUUUUUGUGACGGUACCUAGAUAAGAAGCACCGGCUAACUACGUG
rnacentral:rRNA from 1 species